rnacentral:rRNA from 1 species
GACGAAGGUGGCGAGCGUUGUUCGGAAUCACUGGGCCUAAAGCGCACGUAGGCGGUGUCGUAAGUCGGAUGUGAAAUCCCUCGGCCUAACCGAGGAACUGCGUCCGAUACUGCGAUGCUUGAGGAUCAGAGGGGUGCAUGGAAUUUCCGGUGGAGCGGUGAAAUGCGUUGAUAUCGGAAGGAACUCCGGCGGCGAAAGCGAUGCACUGGCUGAUUUCUGACGCUGAGGUGCGAAAGCCAGGGGAGCAAACGGG